UACAGAGGGUGCAAGCGUUAAUCGGAGUUACUGGGCGUAAAGGGCGCGUAGGCGGUUUGAUGGGUGUGAUGUGAAAGCCUUGGGCUUAACCUGAGAAGUGCAUCGCAAACUACCGAACUGGAGUAGAUGAGAGGGUGGCGGAAUUUCCGGUGUAGCGGUGAAAUUCGUAGAUAUUCGGAAGAACACCAGUGGCGAAGGCGACUUACUGGACACAUAUUGACGCUGAGGUGCGAAAGCGUGGGGAGCAAACAGG
rnacentral:rRNA from 1 species